UCGAACGGUUCCGAUAGAAGGGGCGGUGAGACUUACUUACGCAAGUAAGUAAGUACAGAAGCCGGGAUAUCCCUUACGCUGCCGAUAUUCGCGAUCGUCCAUCCGUCCCGUCUUGAAACACGGACCAAGGAGUCUAACAUGUGCGCGAGUCGAAGGGAUAAGUCUAAUCCCCGAGGCGCAAUGAAAGCGAAAAAGGUCCUCCCUCUCUCCGUGGCGGCCUCUUUCUUCUUUUUCGUCUCCUCCUUCUUCUUCUUCUUCUUCUUCUUCCGCGCCCGCCCGCUGUCGCUCCUCGUCGAUGUCCGGGCGCAUUCCUCCCCUACUCGGGGAGGGGCGCCGGCGCGGUGAGUCGAUAGCGGUAGGGUGUGGCGGCGGAAGCGGAGGUGGAGGCGGUAGUGGUGGGGGUUUGGCGGCGGUAGUAGUAGGGGAGUUCCGUUGGGCCGAUCCGCGCUCCUUCCUUUCUAAGGGGGACCGGCGCAGGCCCGGGGCUCGUCGCUACCCUCUCGUUGCCCUUCGCGGGGCUUCGUGACGGGCGGCGGGCACCUAGAGCGUACAUGCUAGUACCCGAAA
rnacentral:rRNA from 1 species